rnacentral:rRNA from 1 species
GCAAGUCGAGCGGACAGAUGGGAGCUUGCUCCCUGAUGUUAGCGGCGGACGGGUGAGUAACACGUGGGUAACCUGCCUGUAAGACUGGGAUAACUCCGGGAAACCGGGGCUAAUACCGGAUGGUUGUUUGAACCGCAUGGUUCAAACAUAAAAGGUGGCUUCGGCUACCACUUACAGAUGGACCCGCGGCGCAUUAGCUAGUUGGUGAGGUAACGGCUCACCAAGGCAACGAUGCGUAGCCGACCUGAGAGGGUGAUCGGCCACACUGGGACUGAGACACGGCCCAGACUCCUACGGGAGGCAGCAGUAGGGAAUCUUCCGCAAUGGACGAAAGUCUGACGGAGCAACGCCGCGUGAGUGAUGAAGGUUUUCGGAUCGUAAAGCUCUGUUGUUAGGGAAGAACAAGUACCGUUCGAAUAGGGCGGUACCUUGACGGUACCUAACCAGAAAGCCACGGCUAACUACGUGCCAGCAGCCGCGGUAAUACGUAGGUGGCAAGCGUUGUCCGGAAUUAUUGGGCGUAAAGGGCUCGCAGGCGGUUUCUUAAGUCUGAUGUGAAAGCCCCCGGCUCAACCGGGGAGGGUCAUUGGAAACUGGGGAACUUGAGUGCAGAAGAGGAGAGUGGAAUUCCACGUGUAGCGGUGAAAUGCGUAGAGAUGUGGAGGAACACCAGUGGCGAAGGCGACUCUCUGGUCUGUAACUGACGCUGAGGAGCGAAAGCGUGGGGAGCGAACAGGAUUAGAUACCCUGGUAGUCCACGCCGUAAACGAUGAGUGCUAAGUGUUAGGGGGUUUCCGCCCCUUAGUGCUGCAGCUAACGCAUUAAGCACUCCGCCUGGGGAGUACGGUCGCAAGACUGAAACUCAAAGGAAUUGACGGGGGCCCGCACAAGCGGUGGAGCAUG